AGCCCCCCCUCCUCAGAUCCAAGCUCUCAGCAGUCCUGGCUGAAGUAGCCUGGGGACAAGACAGCAGCAGGAACAGAAAGACGGGCAUGAGGACAGAGGUCCCCCCCCACCUGUCAAAAUGCCGAUCCUGAAGAAUCUAGGAGUAUCAGACCCUAAGGUGCCCCGGGCGGGAACCCUGCCCCUGAGAUCCUCUCGGAACCCCUUUGAAGAAGUUUCGGGGCUGGAGGAAGAGGAGGCCGGGGAGCCGGGGUCCCUCCCCAAUGGAGCAUCUUGCCGCCGCCGGGCCACCCUGGAGAAGCUGGCAGGCCUGUCCCCCUUCCGGCUGGGCUGGGCCCCGGGCCGGCGGGCAGGCAGCCCUGGAGAUGGGCAGCCCCGCUCUUUCUUGGGCCGAGUGCUGGUACCAGGGUUACGAAGGAGCUCGGCAGAUUUUGGCCUCCUGGCCCGGCUGCAGGGGACCCGAGCCCAUGGCGACGAGGAAUCAGCGGGGGAGGCCGCCCGGAGACUGGCCUUCCUGAAACUGGGGCGUGGGUCCAAGCCCCAGCGUGCGUCCCUGGCUGAGAGGGUGGUGCCUGCAGGGGAGGCAGCUCCAGAGCCCCCACCAAAGGUCCCGGAGCCCCCAAAGAUGAAGGAGCCGUUGUCAGUGCUGGAGAUUCUGAGCCUGAUCCAGCAGCGCGAGCUCGCGCGCGCCGACGAGCACAUCCUGGAGCUGGAGGCCGAAGAGCUGGCGUCG
rnacentral:lncRNA from 1 species